CACCGCGGUUAUACGAGAGACCCAAAUUGAUAAACAACGGCGUAAAGGGUGGUUAUAAUUAUAAAUACACUAGGGCCGAACUUGUCCCAGACUGUUAUACGUUACGGAAUAAUGAAGACCAUAAACGAAAGUAGCCCUAAACUAUUGAACCCACGAAAGCUAGGAAA
rnacentral:rRNA from 1 species